GGAAUAAGAACACUUUCCCUCCCUUGUCCGGUGUUAUCUUGCCAUUACUCCAUCUGCAAGACCACUCUUCCAUAGAAGUAAAUUUGCCUUGCUGUAAAAACUUGUUGCUGGAGUGCUGACUGUUCUUUGUGGCACCGAAAAUUUGUUUUCCACAAAUUUGGGGGCCCACCCAGCAUUCCCAUUUUCCUCUGGGGGAGGGUCCAGUCCUCUCCUGUGAGGAGGCGCACCCCGCUGCCUUGUUGCAGUGGCUAUAAAGGUAAGAAAUCAAGACUCAACUGGUGAGAUUAAUAAACCUGGGAUCUCAGCAACGUGGAAAGAAACAGGCCAGCAUCUUUGGGGAAAGGAUCUUCACAUGCCGUGGUGACCAGGUAACUGUGCACAGACUGAGACGCAACAGAGAAAUGCAUAAUGUCCAGUCAAUUUAUUAAAGUUCCAAAGUCGGUCGCGUGCGGUGGCUCACGCCUGUAAUCUCAACACUUCGGGAGGCCGAGGCGUGUGGAUCACGAGGUCAGGAGUUGGAGACUAGCCUGACCAACAUGGUGAAACCCCGUCUCUACUAAAAAUACAAAAAUUAGCCAGGCAUGGUUGCACGCGGCUGUAAUCCCCGCUACUCAGGAGGCUGAGGCAGGAGAAUUGCUUGAACCAGGGACGCAGAGGUUGCAGUGAGCAGAGAUGGCGCCACCACACUCCAGCCUGGGAGAAAGAGUGAGACUGCUUCUCAAAAAAAGAAAAAGUUGCAAAGUCAUACCUUUCUGCUCUUGUCAGGCAAUUAAGGGGUUUUUGAAUACUUCAGCCCUAACAAUUUGCUUCCUAACAUACAUAUUGCAGUGCUUAUCUAAUUUUAAAUAUCUUUUUGUUUCAACACCUAAUUUUUUAUUUAGAUCUAUCUGUAUGUUUACAAUAUAUUUUGCUCUGUGUUCAUUCUUUGAUUUCAGAACUUCAAUCUUUCUGAAGCAUGUUUUCAGAGUUUCUUUUUAGUUUCAUUAGUGGAAUUCUGCUGGUGGCGUUUUGUUUUUUGUCUCUAAAUAUGUUAUUUAGCCAUAGGUUGAUGAAUAUUUUUCUUGGUUGAGAAUUUCAGAAUGGCAUUAUUAUUCUUAACAAAUAAUAUUGUUUAUUUUACCUUUCAUGCUUUCAGAUUUCAAUAUGAUUAAAGGUAAUUUGAUUUUUCUAGUGCUCAUUGAAAUAUUUUUCCCUUCCUGAUUGUUUACUAUUUCUCUACGAGAUAUGUAGAUGUAGGUUUAUCUCCAUUGUAGCUUGCUUAGCAUGCAUAGAAUUUUUGAAUACACGGAUUAGUGUCUUACAAAAGUCUAGAGAAAUUUCAGCCAAAAUACCAUCACAUAUUGUCCCUUCCCGGUUCCCUUCUUCUAUGAGAACACUCACUAAACACAUGCUACACUUUCUCACUGUAUCUUCCAUGUCUCUUCAUGAUUCUGUCCACAUUGUGCAUUUUUAAAAAUUUUCUGUAAUGCAUUCUGAAAUAUUUAUGAACUCUCACCAUGGCCAUGUCUAAUCUGAUGAGUUCAUUUUUGAGUUUUUAAUUUAAAAUACUAUAUACAAACUACUUUUCAAAUUUGCAACAUCAAUUUUUUAGUCUCCUAAAAAUAUAUUCAUUUUUUAAAAAAUUUUUUGAAAGCAAAUGUGCUUUAUAAUCUAACAGUGAUAUUUCUACUAAUGAACCUUUGUGGAUCUGUUUGUACUCUUUUUCUAUUUUCCUUUCAAAUGGUGGAAUAUCAUUUCCUUGUGUACUUAGAUGCCUUUGAAUGACAAAGAUUUAUUUUUCUCUGAAAAUUAUUAUUGUGCACUUUUGCAUAUUAGUAAGAAGAAAAUUUGCCAAAGAGAAUUUGAAUUUUUUGUGAGUCUACUAAAGGCACCACCAUUCUGGGACCACAUUAUAUUAAUUCUUGGCCUAAAGGUGUUUGGACGUAUGUUUGGACAGCACAUUUAAACAAUUUUUAAAUUAAUUGCUGUAAAUCAUUAAUGAUUGAGUUUCUUUAAAUCUGUCCAAUCUCAAGUCAUUUUUAUUUGCCAUUUCCAGGGAAUGUGAAAUCGGACUAAUUUACCUCUGAUUCUUCUUUAUACUGAGGAUGUAAAUUUUGGUCCUAGCUUUAGGGAGGAGCUCCUGUGUGAUGCCCUAUCUUGGGAAAAACUAUGUAUUUCUUUACUGUCCUAUGUGAUGUAUGACAGUAGGAAUCUGCACUCAUUCAUUUUGCUACAUGUCCCUAGGGCAAAAUCAGUUUCAGUGUUUAGGUGUAUUUUGUCUGCUCCCUGCAUUCCCAUGGUUUUGACCUUAUAUUUUACUUUUUUUUUUUGUGAACAUAUCACUGCUUCAACUUUUUCCAGUAAUAUAAUCAAUUAUACUAUAAGAAAGAGAAAAAUUUUGAUAAAACACAAAUUUCAUGUUUUCCUACUCUAAAUGGCUUUUACGUAAAAAUACAGGUAAAAUUUAUUUGUGCUUUUUUGCUAUUUCUGUUUUGCUAUUCUCUGUUUGUCUAUGUCUUCGCCACAUAGACACAAUUAGGGAAUUUUGUACACUCUUGUGCCAACUGCUUUGAUAGUAACAAAAUGUAUUUCUCGAACUCCUAGGUAUAAAACUCAAGUAUCCACAAUUUAAAUACUUUUUUGCUCACUUCUAUUAUGUUUCCAGUCUCAAUAGAAAUCGAUGCCAAUCCAGAAAUACAAGCAUUAUUCUAAUACUUCUCACACAUUACUGAUAUAGAUUAAAUUUUCUAGAUCUCCUUAAAUACUAUCAUUUUUCACUUAUUGUAUCUUAACUGUUAAGUUCAACAUUUUCUAUAAUAUUAAUAUAUGUGAAAAUUUCCUUACUUUCUUAUUUGUCCCAGGUUCAAUGUUUUGCAGUCUCUACCUCACCCUGUGAAGCAUAAACAUUGUACAUGCUGUACAAAUAAUACAUCGUUCAUGUACUUAGAGAUUGCACAAUUUUUAUUUGGUUGACAAUAGCUAAUGUUUUCUUCUUCAUUUUCUAUUUCCUGAUUUUUCUUUAUUUAGUAUAUACUACACUAUCAUAAAAAUAAGGACGUUUUACAAACUAAAGCAAUAGCAACCCUAGGAAUAAAAUGCACAAAUAAAAUAUAUAAACAUACAUUUAGAUGUACCACGUAACCUUGUAAUUUAUUUAGACAUUUAAUUUUAGUAAAAUUUUAAUUAAAGUCUGUGUAUUAUGUGUCAUCGUCUUAGUAUUUUUUAUAUAACAAAUUUUGUAAAUCAAAAAGUCUCAAUGUCAUUAUAAACUAUCUUGGCAGAGGAUGAUCUCAAAGGAAUAAUUUCUCUCCCAAAUUACGCCAAUCAGAAUUUCAGUCUACCAUAAUUCUUUUAAUCAGUUUCAGAGGAAUAAUAAAUUUCAAAAUUGUUCAAGGUACUUCUUUUAUUUCAAGUACCUUUUGACUUGUAAAUUCUACAGGUGUAAAACUGUAGACAGACUGAUACAAACAUAUUCUAAUUCACUCAAAAUUAUAUGGACCUAUUUUAAAAUCUAGAUUUUAAAAUGUCGUGUCAACAUACACAUGUUCUCCUUGUGAAAUAAUUGCUUUUUAUUCUCUGGAUAGAAUAAUUUAAUCUUUAAACAAUUCACUGUUAGAAAUGAAAUAUUACAUAAGGAUAUGCUUAUAAAAAUAAUUCCCAACUAGCUUUUCAAUUCAGAAAUAUAUGUGAAAAAUCGUCAAACAUCUAAUGGAUUUCAAGGAGAAAUGGGUUAGUAAUUUAUUCCAUAUGUCUCAAUUUUUCCUAGACUCAAGGCUUCCUUUAAAAUAAUUGUAGGCAUUUAAGAAACCAUGUAAACUAAGAAGAAAUUGUGACACUGCCGCUUAGGCUUUUUAAAUCUUUGGACAUGAUUCAAUAUAUUUUUUAAAUUGUAUCUUAAUUAGACAUGGUGAGUUCACCAUCUUCCUGUCAGUAUAGCAUCCAAGCUGAUUAUGAUAGAUUAGAAGUUCAACUAUCAACUGUGUUCUGAGAGUCUAAAAAAAUAAAUGAACAUAUUUGUUUGGGUAUUCUUAAAGCAGGAGUGAGGACACAGUGAAAGUGAGACAAGGAAAAGAGAACAAAAUAAAACAGGAAAGAUAGAAAAGCCAAUAACACACGUGUUAAGAGUAACAAGCUCCCGUGCUGCUAGAGAAAGUCCUCAGCUAGAAACUGGUGCAAAUUCUGGAGAUGAGACCUUGUAGAGUGUUAAGAAUGGUUUUCUUCCCAGCAGCUACAGGUAAGGAAUAGGGGCUGGGCUAUUAAUACAUCUGCUACAAACCAAUAAAGCCCUUAUGCUCCUUUUGGUGAUCGACAAUGUAUUUAAAAAUAUUAGAUGAUCAAGAAGGGCUGCAGAAAAGAGGAAACAGAAACAAACAGCACACCUCUUGGUUUAUUUUUAUUCAUUUCAUCAGUUUCAAGGAAAAUGUGUUGGGAGUUCCUGGCAUAGACAAUGUCACAAAGACAUAUUUUCAAUAGUAGUGCUAUCCCUAGGGCAGAGAAGACCCAGAGAAAGCCCAAGUGGCUGCUGGAACAAAGUCAGACACCGUGCCACCUGUCCACACUCCUUGGCUCUGCCAUCAUACUGAAGAUCGCUUUAAAGGACUGGCUUCCCUCCCCCCAAAAUUAAACGAGCACAGACU
rnacentral:lncRNA from 10 species